AGCAGCCGCGGUAAUUCCAGCUCCAAUAGCGUAUAUUAAAGUUGCUGCAGUUAAAAAGCUCGUAGUUGAAUUUCGGGACUAAUAUGUCGGUCGUGCCUCGGUACGUACUGGCAUUGUUGGUUUCUACCUUCUGACGAACCAUGAUGUCAUUUAUUUGGUGUCGUGGGAAAUCAGGACUGUUACUUUGAAAAAAUUAGAGUGUUUAAAGCAGGCUCACGCUUGAAUACAUUAGCAUGGAAUAAUGAAAUAGGACGUUUGAUUCUAUUUUGUUGGUUUCUAGGAUCGACGUAAUGAUUAAUAGGGAUAGUUGGGGGCAUUAGUAUUCAAUUGUCAGAGGUGAAAUUCUUGGAUUUAUUGAAGACUAACUACUGCGAAAGCAUUUGCCAAGGAUGUUUUCAUUAAUCAAGAACGAAAGUUAGAGGAUCGAAGACGAUCAGAUACCGUCGUAGUCUUAACCAUAAACUAUGCCGACUAGGGAUCGGAUGAUGUUAAUUUUUUAAUGACUCAUUCGGCGCCUUAC
rnacentral:misc_RNA from 1 species